rnacentral:lncRNA from 1 species
AUGCUUUCAGCAAGCAGACUUCAACAGACUGACCGCUUCCAACGGGUAAAAGAGGGAGGGAAAAUGACACAGAGCAGAGAGGCGGGACUCUCUUUGAACUCAGAGGCAGGGAAGAAGCAAUUGGUUAGUACUGGAGAAACUGACAGUCACCCCAGCCCAGAAAGCUCCCUCUUAGCCAAAUCUACUAAAGGCAGCAUGCGAGAUUGCAAAUACUCCUACAAGUUUUGGGUUGUUUCCCCUGCAAGGUGCAAUUUCUUCCUUCCUUUUGGACUCUUGGGCAUACCCCGGGCCUCGCGGAGCAAGGAGAGUCAAGAAGCAAGAAUCUGACACGGUCAAUCUGGAUUUCACAUCCACCAGUGCUCAAAAGGGAGAAAAAGGCUCUCCUGGAAGCCAAGGCAGCAAAGGAGAAAAGGUACUUUUCAACCUAUUUGCACCUGUGCUGGUUGAAAAAAAGGACGUUCCCUCUGAAUCCCAGCAAAUCUUGGGAAAGUUACUUUUUUGGACUAGAACCCCAGAUUACAGAGGACAUGCUGGCUGGAUGUUUUCCAGAAGUUUUUGUCAUCCAAAAAA